GUGUUUCAAAUUAAUUCAGAUACCUCAUUUUUAGAACACAGAAUAACUGCAGGAACAAUGAACUGGCUCUUCCGGAAUUCAGUCCUCUUAGGCCUGACACACUCAGAAGAGAUGAAGGGCUGCGUAGACAAAGCCUCUGCGGCCUGGGGCAGAUGACGACAUGCUAGGGAUUCAAAACCUGCUUAUUUGGACAUGGCUGUCUGCACAGUCAAGUUCACCUGUUCAACAAUCGUUGGGCUUUUUGGUUUAGGAAGCUGGAAGACGUUUUGAGCUGGCGUUGGCAGCGGACGUUAGUUGUUAUCCCGGAUUUCUGUUCAACUGGUUUGCUCUGUGUGCCACUUGUCAUCAGGGAGGUGUCAGCAGUGCGCAGCUCUCCAAAAACUAAGAUUGACACCAUUGUGUUCAACAAAGGGUGGGCUUUUUGUGCUGAAGGGUCAUCUUGAGCUGCUACAGACCUUGAACUCCAGCCAACCUCCAAGCCGAGGCGCAGCGGGCAGGAGGACCGGUGACAGGGCCGGCAUCUGUAUGUGUGUCUGAACUGCCCACUAAUGAAGCAAGUCUU